AUCCCAAAUAAGCUACAAAGUGCUUAUUUGAUUCAUGGGAAGCCUAAAUCAAUCAGAAAUGAAUGGAGGUUUCGCUGAUAAUGCCUUUUCUAUUUUUUCAACAGAGGCGUUUACUAGUAACCAUUCCCAUACAUAU